GACGAACGCUGCGGCGUGCUUAACACAUGCAAGUCGAACGGUAAGGCCCUUCGGGGUACACGAGUGGCGAACGGGGGAGUAACACGUGGGUGAUCUGCCCUGCACUUCGGGAUAAGCCUGGGAAACUGGGUCGAAUACCGGAUAGGACUCCGGACUGCAUGGUCUGGGGUGGAAAGCGUGUGCGGUGUGGGAUGGGCCCGGGGCCUAUCAGCUUGUUGGUGGGGUGAUGGCCUACCAAGGCGACGACGGGUAGCCGGCGCUGAGAGGGUGACCGGCCACACUGGGACUGAGAUACGGCCCAGACUCCUACGGGAGGCAGCAGUGGGGAAUAUUGCACAAUGGGCGCAAGCCUGAUGCAGCGACGCCGCGUGAGGGAUGACGGCCUUCGGGUUGUAAACCUCUUUCAGCACAGACGAAGCGCAAGUGACGGUAUGUGCAGAAGAAGGACCGGCCAACUACGUGCCAGCCGCCGCCGUAA
rnacentral:rRNA from 1 species